UACGUAGGGGGCAAGCGUUAUCCGGAAUUAUUGGGCGUAAAGGGCUCGUAGGCGGUCUGUUGCGUCGGCUGUGAAAACCCGGGGCUCAACCCCGGGCCUGCAGCCGAUACGGGCAGACUAGAGUUCGGCAGGGGAGACUGGAAUUCCUGGUGUAGCGGUGAAAUGCGCAGAUAUCAGGAGGAACACCGGUGGCGAAGGCGGGUCUCUGGGCCGAUACUGACGCUGAGGAGCGAAAGCGUGGGGAGCGAACAGG
rnacentral:rRNA from 1 species